UUUUGCAGUCACUGAAAUGUCAAACGUCAACUUUUGACAAUCAGAGUUACCACAAAAUGCAUGGAGCUGUACAGCGCCAUCUCGUUUACCUGUCAAAUACGAAGCACGAAAUUGUCUUAGAUUUUACGCAUCUUACUCAAUCAAUGUAUCUUUGUUUAUAAUCAGCUGAUGAUAAAUGAUAAUUAUAAUAAAACAAUUUAUCGUUUUCCAUUAACAUAUAUUUUGUACAUAACUAUGACUACACCUAACAUAGAAGCAUAUUAUACAAAAUAAUAAAAAGUUACGACACAAUACAUUCACGUAGCGACAUACAUUAAACAGUCGAAGUUGGACGCGAUUUCAUACGAGAUUUAAAAAAACACAGGACUGUCUUCAUGGUCUAUUAAAAAAAAUUGUGUGUCGUUAAAAGGAAAACGGACCUUAGUGGAAUGUAAUUAAGACGCUGUUUUUAUUGGAGUCUGGUCUGACCUAUUUAGCGUAACCACCGUACAGUGCAUUUAUAAUAGCUCUUUAACCUGCUAUGGCUCACGGUUCUAUCUAUAGUACAUACUUAUUUAGUUUGUUGAAAUUUAACUCGUUUUCAAUUGGAAUAGAAAGAAAUAAAAUUGUCAACGGAAAAUAUUUGUCCUUACCGAGAUUUUACACAUGGCUCGUCAAUUAUUGUAUGAGAGCAGUGUAGGUAACAUAUUGUGUUCUCAAAUGCAUAUACGUGAUUAUAUAUGACGUCCCACGGGUAAAGGUACCUUAUGGCGGUUGGCGCUUACGCUAUUAUUAACGCCGCUCCAAUAUUAUUGCGGCGCUAUGCGACGUAAGCGCCAGCCGCCAUAAGGUACCUUUUGCCGUGGAACGUCACAUAUAUGGUGAUAUUAUGUCAAUCACAUGCCAUUAAGGUCCUUACUUUAUUAUAUAAAAAAAAACGAAUUAAAAUCUGGUUAAGUUAUGUUACAAGUAAGCGCAUAAAAACGACUAAUUGCGAGUAAGACGAAUUAUGAAAAGCUAAAAUGCAUCUAAAAUAUCUAAAUUAAUAAAAUGCAAGUAAAAUCACUUAUCCAAAAAUAAAUAAUUUCUCUAUGAGAAAUAAUUGGUGUCACAAUGUUUCUUAGAAACUAAGUUGAAAUUCUACAAUAAUAGAACACUUUACUAACACGAACUGGUUUCAUAAGAUUGAACUAUUUUAUUAUAGGGCAAAGAUUCAUUGAUCGUAUAAGAUGUGUUAAACUCUAAGUAAAAACCUUACCCCCGAGAUUGACAUUUGAAGAACGGGGCGCUGUAUAUGCUAUAUGUUUUGUGGUAACUCAAUUACCAUACGAAAACCUAUUGGUAACCAGAGUUACCGCAUAAUGUACGGAACCGUACAGAGCCAUCUAUCUAUUUGAAAACUAUUUAUUCGAAGCGCAAAGCUUAGUCUACACAUCUAAUACAAUAAACGAAUCUUUGAUAUGGGGUAAACUACCACGUUACUGACACUCCUUGAUAAAAAUCAAUGAAUGG